CCUACGGGUGGCAGCAGUGAGGAAUAUUGGUCAAUGGACGCAAGUCUGAACCAGCCAAGCCGCGUGCAGGAAGACGGCUCUAUGAGUUGUAAACUGCUUUUGUACGAGAGUAAACGCAGAUACGCGUACCUGUCUGAAAGUAUCUUACGAAUAAGGAUCGGCUAACUCCGUGCCAGCAGCCGCGGUAAUACGGAGGAUUCGAGCGUUAUCCGGAUUUAUUGGGUUUAAAGGGUGCGUAGGUGGGUUGAUAAGUUAGAGGUGAAAUCCUGCGGCUCAACUUCAGAAUUGCAUCUGAUACUGGUCGUCUAGAGAGUAGUUGCGGUAGGCGGAAUGCAUGGUGUAGCGGUGAAAUGCUUAGAGAUCACACAGAACACCGAUUGCGAAGGCAGCUUACCAAGCUACUACUGACGUUGAGGCACGAAAGCGUGGGUAGCAAACAGGAUUAGAUACCCCGGUAGUC
rnacentral:rRNA from 1 species